GGCGAACGGCUGAGUAACACGUGGGCAACCUGCCCUUUGCACUGGGAUAGCCUCGGGAAACCGAGGUUAAUACCGGAUACUCCAUAUUUGUCGCAUGGCGAAUAUGGGAAAGCUCCGGCGGCAAAGGAUGGGCCCGCGGCCUGUUAGCUAGUUGGUGGGGUAGUGGCCUACCAAGGCAAUGAUGGGUAGCCGGGUUGAGAGACCGACCGGCCAGAUUGGGACUGAGACACGGCCCAGACUCCUACGGGAGGCAGCAGAA
rnacentral:rRNA from 1 species